UAAUACGAAGGGGGCUAGCGUUAAUCGGAAUUACUGGGCGUAAAGCGCACGCAGGCGGUUUGUUAAGUCAGAUGUGAAAUCCCCGGGCUCAACCUGGGAACUGCAUUUGAAACUGGCAAGCUAGAGUCUCGUAGAGGGGGGUAGAAUUCCAGGUGUAGCGGUGAAAUGCGUAGAGAUCUGGAGGAAUACCGGUGGCGAAGGCGGCCCCCUGGACGAAGACUGACGCUCAGGUGCGAAAGCGUGGGGAGCAAACAGGAUUAGAUACCCUGGUAGUCCACGCUGUAAACGAUGUCGAUUUGGAGGUUGUGCCCUUGAGGCGUGGCUUCCGGAGCUAACGCGUUAAAUCGACCGCCUGGGGAGUACGGCCGCAAGGUUA
rnacentral:rRNA from 1 species